AAAUAGGUGGCAGCACCUUGGAUAAGUUGGCUGUCAGGGUGGGUGGCUGUUGUUCAUAGGUGACCUGCAGGGAUGAAGAUGAAGAGAGGGCACAGACUGGUCAUCCCAAAUAUUCAACCCAUGUUGCACCAUGUUCUGUUCCAUCUAGACCCAAAAUCAAAUGCCAAACUCCAAAAUCAACAGCUAUCUGAGGGCCUUCCAUCCCUUCCGAUACUCAGGAGGAAAAACCAAAAGGAGGCAAGCUCAGUUCCAGGACCCCACCCAGGACCUUCUGUCCCCUCCAACACUAUAGGAAAAGAACCAAAGGAGAAAAUGUAAGUUUUCACAGAGAAGUAAGAAACAUAAGUUUUGGGCGGUAUAAAAAUAUGUCAAAUAAAUAAAAAUAAAUAAAAUAAAAACUCACUGUGAGGGCCUUCCAUCCCCUCCAUCAUUCCUGGAGAAGAACCAAAGGAGGCAACCUCAGUGCCAGGACCCUGACCAGGGCCUUUCUUCCCCUCCAAUACUCUGAAAGAAUAACCAGAUGAGAAAACCUCAUUUCUAGGACCCAACUCAGGACCUUCUGUCGCCUCUGACACCAUGGGAGAAGAAACAAGUGAGGCAACCUUACUGCCAGAACCACACUCAGGACCUUCCAUCCCUUCUGACACUCUGGGAGAAAAACCAAAGGAGGUAACCUCACUGCCAGAAUUCCACCAAGGGCCUUCUGUCCCCUCUGACACUCCAGGAAAAGAAAUAAAGGAGACAACCUCACUGUCAGAACCCUACUCAGGGCCUUGAGUCCCCUCCAGCUCUCAUGGAGAAGAACCAAAGGAGCCAACCUCAAUGCCAGGACUCAGCCCAGGGCCUUUCAUCCCCUCUGACGCUCCUGAAUAAGAACCAAAGGAGACAAUCUCAGUGCCAGGACCACACUCAGGACUUCUGCCCUCUAUGACAAACAGGGAGAAGAACCAAAGGAGGCAAUCUCACCACCAGGACCCCACUCAGGAUCUUCCAUCCACUCCAACAGUCCAGGAGAAGAGCCUAAGGAGGCAGCCUCAGUGCCAGGACUCCACUCAGGAUCUUCCAUCCCCUCUGACACGCCGGGAGAAGAAACCAAGGAGGAAACCUCACUGCCCACACCUUGCCCAGGGCCUUCCGUACCCUCCAACACUCUGGGAGAAGAACCAGUGGAGGCAACCUCACUGCCUGUGCCUUCCAUUCCCUCAUAGAAUCUGGGAGGAGAACCUCAUUCCCCCGACCCUUCCAGGGCCCUCCAACGCUCCAGGAGAUGAACCAAGGAGUCAGCUUCACUGCCAGAACCGCACUCAGGACCUCCCGUCUGCUCCAGCAUUCCACAAAAAGAACCAAAGGAGGCAACCUCAGUGCCAUGAUUCUGCCCAGGCCCUUCUGUCCACUCAGACACUCUUGGAGAAGAGUGGAAAGAGGAAAGGAGGAAAUCUCAUUGCCAGGACCCUGCCCAGGGCCUUCCAUCCCCUCCAACACUCUAGGAGAAGAGCCAAAGGAGGCAAUCUUACUGCCAGGACCCAACUCAGGACCUUCUGUCCCCUAUGACACUUGGGGAGAAGAACCAAAGGAGGAAACCUGUGAGCUAAAAUGACCUGAAAUGUGUUCAGCAUCAUUCUGAUUUUAGUGUGCAACUAAUAAAGAAGCAACUUUCCUCUGAUUAUUA